rnacentral:misc_RNA from 1 species
AACGCACCUUGCGCUCCUUGGUAUUCCGAGGAGCAUGCCUGUUUGAGUGUCUUGAAGUCAUCAACCUCUCCGGUUUCGUGCCGGGGUCGGUUGGAGCUGGGGGCCGUUGCUGCCGUCAGGCUGCUCCCCUCAAAUUCAUCGGUUGGACCUGUGGGUCGAACUCGACUGGGCGUUGUACCAUCCUCGCUCUAACCCGAGACGUUCCCCUUCCGAGUCCUCCCAAGACCUGCCUCUGGAGUGGCGGUCAACCUCAUACUUUGAAAUCUGACCUCAAAUCAGGUAGGACUACCCGCUGAACUUAA